CAGAAAGGGAAGCAGACUAAAAACCGCCACGUCCUGUGGCAAUGUCUGAAUGACCCGCUUCCUUUUGG
rnacentral:sRNA from 1 species